rnacentral:lncRNA from 1 species
CCAUGGAAGCACCUCCUCAAGCUCUCCUCAAGGGCUAAUACAUCCGGAAAAAAUCUAGAAAAGCUCAAGUAUCCAUCUUGGAUUUUGGGAAAAAUUGAACACCCUUCAAGACGAACGCUUUUGGGGAAAUUUCAAAUUCACGCUGAGUCCAUGAGGAAUUUGAAUGGGAUCAUACCAAGGUGGCUCACAAGGAUCCUAUCAACAAAAGCUACCAACAAAUUUCACCGGAUUUGG